rnacentral:rRNA from 1 species
UACGUAGGUGACAAGCGUUGUCCGGAUUUACUGGGCGUAAAGAGCGCGCAGGCGGUCGUUCAAGUCGAGUGUGAAAGCCCCGGCUCAACUGGGGAGGGUCAUUCGAUACUGAUCGACUCGAAGGCAGGAGAGGGAAGUGGAAUUCCCGGUGUAGUGGUGAAAUGCGUAGAUAUCGGGAGGAACACCAGUGGCGAAGGCGGCUCUCUGGGACGGUACUGACGCUGAGACGCGAAAGCGUGGGGAGCAAACAGGG